UACAGGGGGGGCAAGCGUUGUUCGGAAUUACUGGGCGUAAAGGGUUCGUAGGUGGCCAACUAAGUCAGACGUGAAAUCCCUCAGCUUAACUGGGGAACUGCGUCUGAUACUGGAUGGCUUGAGUGUAGGAGAGGAAUGCGGAAUUCCAGGUGUAGCGGUGAAAUGCGUAGAUAUCUGGAGGAACACCGGUGGCGAAGGCGGCAUUCUGGACUACAACCGACACUGAGGAACGAAAGCCAGGGGAGCAAACGGG
rnacentral:rRNA from 1 species